rnacentral:rRNA from 1 species
GACGAACGCUGGCGGCGUGCUUAACACAUGCAAGUCGAACGGAAAGGCCCUGCUUUUGUGGGGUGCUCGAGUGGCGAACGGGUGAGUAACACGUGAGUAACCUGCCCUUGACUUUGGGAUAACUUCAGGAAACUGGGGCUAAUACCGGAUAGGGGCUCCUGCUGCAUGGUGGGGGUUGGAAAGUUUCGGCGGUUGGGGAUGGACUCGCGGCUUAUCAGCUUGUUGGUGGGGUAGUGGCUUACCAAGGCUUUGACGGGUAGCCGGCCUGAGAGGGUGACCGGCCACAUUGGGACUGAGAUACGGCCCAGACUCCUACGGGAGGCAGCAGUGGGGAAUAUUGCACAAUGGGCGGAAGCCUGAUGCAGCAACGCCGCGUGCGGGAUGACGGCCUUCGGGUUGUAAACCGCUUUCGCCUGUGACGAAGCGUGAGUGACGGUAAUGGGUAAAGAAGCACCGGCUAACUACGUGCCAGCAGCCGCGGUGAUACGUAGGGUGCGAGCGUUGUCCGGAUUUAUUGGGCGUAAAGGGCUCGUAGGUGGUUGAUCGCGUCGGAAGUGUAAUCUUGGGGCUUAACCCUGAGCGUGCUUUCGAUACGGGUUGACUUGAGGAAGGUAGGGGAGAAUGGAAUUCCUGGUGGAGCGGUGGAAUGCGCAGAUAUCAGGAGGAACACCAGUGGCGAAGGCGGUUCUCUGGGCCUUUCCUGACGCUGAGGAGCGAAAGCGUGGGAAGCGAACAGGCUUAGAUACCCUGGUAGUCCACGCUGUAAACGGUGGGUACUAGGUGUGGGGUCCAUUCCACGGGUUCCGUGCCGUAGCUAACGCUUUAAGUACCCCGCCUGGGGAGUACGGCCGCAAGGCUAAAACUCAAAGGAAUUGACGGGGCCCCGCACAAGCGGCGGAGCAUGCGGAUUAAUUCGAUGCAACGCGUAGAACCUUACCUGGGUUUGACAUGGAUCGGGAGUGCUCAGAGAUGGGUGUGCCUCUUUUGGGGUCGGUUCACAGGUGGUGCAUGGCUGUCGUCAGCUCGUGUCGUGAGAUGUUGGGUUAAGUCCCGCAACGAGCGCAACCCUUGUUCACUGUUGCCAGCACGUUAUGGUGGGGACUCAGUGGAGACCACCGGGGUCAACUCGGAGGAAGGUGGGGAUGACGUCACGUCAUCAUGCCCCUUAUGUCCAGGGCUUCACGCAUGCUACAAUGGCUGGUACAGAGAGUGGCGAGCCUGUGAGGGUGAGCGAAUCUCGGAAAGCCGGUCUCAGUUCGGAUUGGGGUCUGCAACUCGACCUCAUGAAGUCGGAGUCGCUAGUAAUCGCAGAUCAGCAACGCUGCGGUGAAUACGUUCCCGGG